rnacentral:rRNA from 1 species
GACGAACCGUGCGAACGUUGUUCGGAAUCACUGGGCUUAAAGGGCGCGUAGGCGGGCGGCCCAGUCGGGGGUGAAAUCUUUCGGCUCAACCGGAAAAUAGCCUUCGAUACUGGUCGUCUGGAGGGGGGUAGGGGCGUGUGGAACUUCCGGUGGAGCGGUGAAAUGCGUUGAUAUCGGAAGGAACUCCGGUGGCGAAAGCGACACGCUGGACCUCACCUGACGCUGAGGCGCGAAAGCUAGGGGAGCGAACAGG